rnacentral:lncRNA from 1 species
AGGAGAAUUGCUUGAACCGGGGAGGCAGAGGUUGCAGUGAGCUGAGAUUGCACCAUUGCACUCCAGCCUGGGUGACAGAGUGAGACUCCAUCUCAAAAAAUAAUAGUAAUAAUAAAUAAAACAAAAACAUAACCGGGAUAUCCAGGGAUGACAGUGGGCUCUGGGAACAGCUUUAUUCAAGGCUUCAAAUACUGCCUUCCAGGCUCACGCUGGUUCCAUGUGUCAGUUCUCCUCUUCUCUGUAUGUUGCCCUUUUUUUCUCCUGUGCACGCAGUUUUCUGUGCCAAAAGAUGGCCAUUUGCAGUUCCAGACUUACACAGUACAACUCAGCAAAUGUAGCAGACAAAAACACUUCUCUUUCCCAACAUUGGUGGGCUUGUCUGAGUAUCUGGCGGGGGACAGCAUAUGGAGUCCUUAGAGAAAGAGGAGUAGCCACAGUAUACUGAGAUCAGCAACACAGUCAAGAGACUGGGCUGGGUGCAGUGGCUCACACCUGGAAUCCCAGAAUUUUGGGAGGCUGAAGUGGGAGGGUCACUUGAGCCCAGGAGUUUGAGACCAGCCUGGACAAUAGAGUGAGACCUUGUCUCUACAAAAAUUUAAAAAAUAACCAUGCCUGGUGGCGCACACUUGUAGUCCCACUUGGGAGGCUGAGGUAGGAGGAUUGCUUGAGCCCAAGAGGUUGAAGCUACAAUAAGCCAUGCUCAGUGCCACUGCUCUCCUUUAUUUUCCUUGUUUUCUUUCUUUCUCUCUCUCUGCAAUUCUUUAUUUUCCUUGACAUUUUGGACACACUUGGGAGGCCUGCCCUGCUGUCCCCAGAAAACUCAUGUAAGGAGGAAACAUUGCUCUCUCCUCAAUGUAUGUGUGUGGCAUCAUCUUGACAUCAGAACCAAAUUUUGGGUGGAGGGUCUAUCCUGCUCCUGCAGAGUGUCUGCAACCCCUAGCAUGGAAGGAUGUCUUGGUCUCUCUCCUUCAUGGGCUGCCAUAUGAGUGCUGCCUCCAACUCCAACACAUGGCAUCCAGCCUGGGCGACAGUGCAAGUCCCUAUCUCAAAAGAUAAAAAGAAACUAAGAGCCUAGAGGAAAAGACAAGAGUAAACAAAUGACCAUAAUUUUAUAACGUUGUGUGCUACGGGAGCCCAAAAGAAUAAGUGGCUGAAUUUUUGUUCUAAAAUAAUUUUUUUUUUUUUUUGAGAUGGAGUUUCACUCUUGUUGCCCAGGCUGGAGUGCAAUGACACGAUCUUGGCUUACCACAACAUCUGCUUCACAGGUUCAAGUGAGUCUCCUGCCUCAGCCUCCCGAGUAGCUGGGAUUUACAGGCAUGCACCACCACGCCCAGCUAAUUUUGUAUUUUUAGUAGAGACAAGGUUUCUCCAUGUUGAUCAGGCUGGUCUCGAACUCCUGACCUCAGGUGAUCUGCCCGCCUCGGCCUCCCAAAGUGCUGGGAUUACAGGCGUGAGCCAUUGUGCCUGGUCUUUUUUUUUUUUUUUUUUUUUUGAGAGGGAGUUUCACUCUUGUCACCCAGGCUGGAGUACAAUGGUGAAAUCCCAGGUCACUGCAACCUCUACUUCCUGGGUUCAAGCUAUUCUCCAGCCUCAGCCUCCCAAGUAACUGGGAUUAUAGGCUCCUGUCACCAUGCCUGGCUAAUUUUUGUUUGCAUUUUUAGUAGAGACAGUGUUUCACCAUUUUGGUCAGGCUGGUCUUGAACUCCUGACCUCAGGUGAUCCACCCACCUCGGCCUCCCAAAGUGCUAGUAUUACAGAGGUAAGCCACCGAACCCAGCCCUUUGUUCUAAAAAUUAAUAGAUUUAGUCAUUCCACAGUGUAUCCAUAUUUCAAAACACCAUGUUGUAUACACCAUUAAUAUGUACAUUUUAUUUGCCAAAGAUAAAUAAUAAUUAGCCAAAAAAAAAAAAAAAACAGUUUCAAUCUGCCAUGGUUAAUAUCAAUGAUUCAUCAUCUGAGUAAAUGCAUAUAAUCCUUUGAACUUAAUACAUCAUUUCUCUUAAGUAUAACAGUUUCUCUUGAAAAGCUCUACAACUUACUGUCUCAUACUUCCGCCUUACUCUAUCUCAUUAUCAUUAGAAGAUGAAAAGCUCAUCCUAACUUUUUACAAUGAGCAACAUUGUCUACUUAGUAUGGUUUCCCAAAAAUGCAGUGGGUUUAUUUUUUCCUUGUGUUCAUGUGUACAUUAUCAUCAUUAAGAUUGCAAAUUGUUUUUGCUGUCUAUGCAGGAUCUAAAAAAAAUUUUUUUUGCAAAUUGCACUGGAGUGGGGUCAGAGUGAAGGAAAGCAAAAGCACUAGGAAAGUUAAAUGCCAAUUUCAAAAGAAAACUUUAGGCAGUCUCAUUCAAAUAUGCCUUUUGGAGUAUAUAUAAAAAUCUCAGAUGUUCAAAUUGCAGAGCACUUAAAAAGCAAGUAUUUAAAUGUUGAGGCAUUCCAUCAUAGGAUUCUGAAGUGAAGCAAAUACAAACGAUAUAUUUUGAUAAUAAAAAUAAACACAAAUGAAACAUGCAUAAAAGUUGGUUUGUUCAGGUAAAUUCCUUGGAGGCCAAUUGGCAUUUCAAUGGGUGGUGAUAACAGAAAAUGAUUUUUUAGUAUGCCCAAAGCUGAUUGCCUUAACACCAACAUAGAAACACAGGAGGUGAUUGCAAGCUUUUA